UCCAGCUGACAGACAGAAACUAUGGAGCUAGGGGAAAAAAUUAUCCUACAUCUCAAGUGAUCUUCAAAAUGAUCUUCAUAACAUCAGUCACCAAAGCAAUAAUAACCAGGCAUACAAGAGAGAAGAUAACAUAAAACCUUGGACAAAUAACAAGCAAUAUAAACCUCCCAUAAGGUCAUCACAUUCAAGUCCAUUUGGUUGUGGAUUCACUGCUUGCUCUGCCAACGACCGAAGAUAUGCUUAAUUGUCUCACAACUAUUUUGUUUAUGUCUACUUGUCUGUUUUUCUAAUAAUAUCAUUUCCAUAUCUUGAAGCUA